rnacentral:rRNA from 1 species
AUGAACGCUGGCGGCGUGCCUCAUCCAUGCCAGUCGCGCGAACAGACGAGGAGCUUGCUCCUCUGACGUUAGCGGCGGACGGGUGAGUAACACGUGGAUAACCUACCUAUAAGACUGGGAUAACUUCGGGAAACCGGAGCUAAUACCGGAUAAUAUAUUGAACCGCAUGGUUCAAUAGUGAAAGACGGUUUUGCUGUCACUUAUAGAUGGAUCCGCGCCGCAUUAGCUAGUUGGUAAGGUAACGGCUUACCAAGGCAACGAUGCGUAGCCGACCUGAGAGGGUGAUCGGCCACACUGGAACUGAGACACGGUCCAGACUCCUACGGGAGGCAGCAGUAGGGAAUCUUCCGCAAUGGGCGAAAGCCUGACGGAGCAACGCCGCGUGAGUGAUAAAGGUCUUCGGAUCGUAAAACUCUGUUAUUAGGGAAGAACAAAUGUGUAAGUAACUAUGCACGUCUUGACGGUACCUAAUCAGAAAGCCACGGCUAACUACGUG